GAUGAACGCUGGCGGCGUGCCUAAUACAUGCAAGUCGAGCGAAUGGAUUAAGAGCUUGCUCUUAUGAAGUUAGCGGCGGACGGGUGAGUAACACGUGGGUAACCUGCCCAUAAGACUGGGAUAACUCCGGGAAGCCGGGGCUAAUACCGGAUAACAUUUUGAACCGCAUGGUUCGAAAUUGAAAGGCGGCUUCGGCUGUCACUUAUGGAUGGACCCGCGUCGCAUUAGCUAGUUGGUGAGGUAACGGCUCACCAAGGCAACGAUGCGUAGCCGGCGUGAGAUGGUGAUCGGCCACACUGGGACUGAGACACGGCCCAGACUCCUACGGGAGGCAGCAGUAGGGAAUCUUCCGCAAUGGACGAAAGUCUGACGGAGCAACGCCGCGUGAGUGAUGAAGGCUUUCGGGUCGUAAAACUCUGUUGUUAGGGAAGAACAAGUGCUAGUUGAAUAAGCUGGCACCUUGACGGUACCUAACCAGAAAGCCACGGCUAACUACGUGCCAGCCGCCACAGUAA
rnacentral:rRNA from 1 species